AAAACAAGCACGAAAUUUGCAUCACAAAUCACAACCGGCGAAAGAACAAAGUCAAAAAAAGUUUGGUAACUGAGUAACUUCAUUUACAAUUUCGAUUGGCAGCGAUUGGCACAGGGCAGGCUAGAAUGGGAAGGGAACAUUUGCGGAUUUGCGUACGUGCGCCUGUGCGUCUCCACACGCCGGGGUUCGCCGUCUACUUUCUCUUUUCGCUUCCAUGCGGGGUGGCGGCCUUGUUGUCGUACUGCGCACGGUGGCAAGCGGGUUUAUAAUUGCUUUUAUCAAAUUGAUGAUCUUUUUUUUGUAAUAUCGAGCUAAACAUUAUCCCCCAUCUGUGCGAGAAAAUGAGACCCAAAAGCGAGACAGGGAAAAUCGUUUUUAAUUUAAUUAUAAUCUUUCAUUUUUAAUCGCAUAUCUUUCCCUUUCCCGCGCCCAAUUGGUGCAGGCCUCAUUUCAGGGCCAUAAAAAAAUGCCUCACUAUCUCGAAAGCCACCGUUUUUGGAAUGUCAGCCCGCUUCUUCAGUGCUGUUGCUUCUUGUCCACUCUUGUCGCUCUGUCGCUGCUCUCUUAUUUGCUCUCACUUAAUAAUCCCUUUUUUUUCAAAGGUGUCUGCUUUCACUCCCUUCGCAAACGAAAAGAUGUUCAUACCUACGUUGUGUAUGUGUGUGUGUGUAUGUCUAUAGUUGCCUUCACACCUUGCCGCACCCCUCAAAAAGACACAUGCACCCACGUCGGGGUUUGUCGCGUUUGGGGGAAAGGCUGUCCCGCUCUGGCCGGGACCGAACAGGGCGGCCAUUUACGGACAUCCGGACGGUGUAUCGCUGGCUGGCUGGCUUGGCCGCUGCCCGGACGUAGACUCUCGGACCGGGACCCCAUCUCAGUGUCCGCCGGGACUGUGACGUGAUCGGUGUUGCGUUCGUCUUGCUGUUUUUAGUGUUGUCUUUGUGUGUGUAGAUAAAUGUUUGUGUGCGUGUGUGGUGAUUAAUUUUGUAAAGUGUUACGGUUUUCGUAUUGCUAGUGACGAUUACGCUUCCCCCGAGACGUGCGGAACACGCGGAAAUUACUGACAGAGAGAGAGAGAGAGAGAGAGAGAGAGA